AUUGAACGCUGGCGGCAGGCUUAACACAUGCAAGUCGAGCGGAGUGAUGGUGCUUGCACUAUCACUUAGCGGCGGACGGGUGAGUAAUGCUUAGGAAUCUGCCUAUUAGUGGGGGACAACAUCUCGAAAGGGAUGCUAAUACCGCAUACGUCGUACGGGAGAAAGCAGGGGAUCACUUGUGACCUUGAGCUAAUAGAUGAGACUAAGUCGGAUUAGCUAGUUGGUGGGGUAAAGGCCUACCAAGGCGACGAUCUGUAGCGGGUCUGAGAGGAUGAUCCGCCACACUGGGACUGAGACACGGCCCAGACUCCUACGGGAGGCAGCAGUGGGGAAUAUUGGACAAUGGGGGGAACCCUGAUCCAGCCAUGCCGCGUGUGUGAAGAAGGCCUUAUGGUUGUAAAGCACUUUAAGCGAGGAGGAGGCUCUUUUGGUUAAUACCCAAGAUGAGUGGACGUUACUCGCAGAAUAAGCACCGGCUAACUCUGUGCCAGCAGCCGCGGUAA
rnacentral:rRNA from 1 species